UUAAAAUGAGAGUUUGAUCCUGGCUCAGGACGAACGCUGGCGGCGUGCCUAAUACAUGCAAGUCGAACGAGACUUUCUUACACCGAAUGCUUGCAUUCACCGUAAGAAGUUGAGUGGCGGACGGGUGAGUAACACGUGGGUAACCUGCCUAAAAGAAGGGGAUAACACUUGGAAACAGGUGCUAAUACCGUAUAUCUCUAAGGAUCGCAUGAUUCUUAGAUGAAAGAUGGUUCUGCUAUCGCUUUUAGAUGGACCCGCGGCGUAUUAACUAGUUGGUGGGGUAACGGCCUACCAAGGUGAUGAUACGUAGCCGAACUGAGAGGUUGAUCGGCCACAUUGGGACUGAGACACGGCCCAAACUCCUACGGGAGGCAGCAGUGGGAAUCUUCCACAAUGGACGCAAGUCUGAUGGAGCAACGCCGCGUGAGUGAAGAAGGUCUUCGGAUCGUAAAACUCUGUUGUUAGAGAAGAACACGAGUGAGAGUAACUGUUCAUUCGAUGACGGUAUCUAACCAGCAAGUCACGGCUAACUACGUGCCAGCAGCCGCGGUAAUACGUAGGUGGCAAGCGUUGUCCGGAUUUAUUGGGCGUAAAGGGAAC
rnacentral:rRNA from 2 species